rnacentral:other from 1 species
CGGGUACUGCGCUGUGCGCGCGAUAUGCAGUAAUUCCCCGGGGCUAUAAGUUCUUCCAGGGAGCUGUCCCUGAGCCGGACCGUGGUCCGGCACAUACGGCGCCCACCUGCAUUGCAGGUUCCGGAGGAUACAAACGUCAGACGGCAGAGGCGGUCCCGCA